rnacentral:tRNA from 1 species
ACAAACUUAGCUCAGUUGGUAGAGCAUCUGACUAACACUCAGAACGUCACGGGUUCAACUCCCGUAGUUGACA